GUCCCCGCCCACUGCCCCGCGGGAUCGGCCUCUCUUCGGGCGCCCUCCUGCCCCCUCCCCGAGCGGGCCGCUGAGGAGUGCGGGCCAAUCGCGGGCCGGGAAGCAGUGGGGGCGGGGCAAAUGCUAAUUUCGCCUUCUUGAGACCCGGGGCGGGAAACCCUAGCUCGAAGUCCCUCCCGAGUUCUCUAGUGGCGCCCACCCGUGCCUUGUCCACUUUUCUGUAAUGGUCUAGCUUACGAACCCUUGCUUCCAGGGCCCCUACCAGGUCUCCUCUCUCCAGCUAAGCAUCCUUAGAGUCCAGCGCUUGUUUAAAAGAACUGCUCAAAGAAUCACUUUUAACUGUGGCACCUGUCUCCUCUCUGCGUUGUCCUCAUACCAGGCUGCUACAGAUUAAAAACUCAUGCACAUUCUGUUUUCCACGCAUCCGGAGCUACACCUAGCCUGCUGCUGUGUCCAUGGAGAAAUCCUAAGGGCAAAUUCAUUUCUUGAAAACAAAGGCUACAGGGUUUCAGCUCCAUUGAUUCGGCCUUGGGACCAUUGCUUGCAGGCUCCUGAUCUAGAGUGGUACUUGCUGUAACACUGGAUCCUUUACCCACUGUGCCACCGUGGAAACUCCAGUAUACCUGCUUUUUUAACUGAAUAAUCUCUCUUGGCUAUCUCUCCUUAUUGUUCCAUAUAAUAGACUCUUUUUUUGGAGGGGUGGAGUAUUUAAUUGGUUUUUUUUUUAAUAUUUAAAUGAAUUGGUGUAUUCCAAACAUUUGAAUGUAAAAAUAAGUAACUUCUCUUCAUAAAAUGAGUACUUUCCACAAUAUAUUUUACAAUAUUUUUGUGCUCUUAGAUUCUGGACUUGUAGCAAAAAAGCUG